rnacentral:rRNA from 1 species
AGAGUUUGAUCCUGGCUCAGGAUGAACGCUGGCGGCGUGCCUAACACAUGCAAGUCGAACGGAGUUCUUAAGGAAUGCGGCUUCGGCCAAAUGACUUUUGAACUUAGUGGCGGACGGGUGAGUAACGCGUGAGCAACCUGCCUUUCAGAGGGGGAUAACAUUUGGAAACAGAUGCUAAUACCGCAUAAGAUUACAGUACCGCAUGAUACAGUGAUCAAAGGAGCAAUCCGCUGAAAGAUGGGCUCGCGUCCGAUUAGAUAGUUGGUGAGGUAACGGCUCACCAAGUCGACGAUCGGUAGCCGGACUGAGAGGUUGAACGGCCACAUUGGGACUGAGACACGGCCCAGACUCCUACGGGAGGCAGCAGUGGGGAAUAUUGCACAAUGGGCGAAAGCCUGAUGCAGCAACGCCGCGUGAGGGAAGACGGUUUUCGGAUUGUAAACCUCUGUCUUUGGUGACGAAGAAGUGACGGUAGCCAAGGAGGAAGCCACGGCUAACUACGUGCCAGCAGCCGCGGUAAUACGUAGGUGGCAAGCGUUAUCCGGAAUUACUGGGUGUAAAGGGAGCGCAGGCGGGAUAGCAAGUCAGCUGUGAAAACUAUGGGCUCAACCCAUAAACUGCAGUUGAAACUGUUAUUCUUGAGUGGAGUAGAGGCAAGCGGAAUUCCGAGUGUAGCGGUGAAAUGCGUAGAUAUUCGGAGGAACACCAGUGGCGAAGGCGGCUUGCUGGGCUCUAACUGACGCUGAGGCUCGAAAGUGUGGGGAGCAAACAGGAUUAGAUACCCUGGUAGUCCACACCGUAAACG